rnacentral:rRNA from 1 species
AAUCAACGCUGGCGGCGUGCCUAACACAUGCAAGUCGAACGAGAAGGUGACUUCGGUCACUGGAUAGUGGCGUCCGGGUGAGUAACACGUAGGUAAUCUACCUUCGGGUGGGGAAUAACGUCUCGAAAGAGACGCUAAUACCGCAUAAUGCAGCGGCACCUAAUGGUGAUCAGUUGUUAAAGCGGGGGAUCUUCGGACCUCGCGCCUGAAGAGGAGCCUGCGGCAGAUAGCUAGUUGGUGAGGUAAUGGCUCACCAAGGCUUCGAUCUGUAGCUGGUCUGAGAGGACGGCCAGCCACACUGGCACUGACACACGGGCCAGACUCCUACGGGAGGCAGCAGUGGGGAAUUUUGGGCAAUGGGCGAAAGCCUGACCCAGCAACGCCGCGUGAAGGAGGAAAUCCUUCGGGAUGUAAACUUCAUAAGUAAGGGAAGAAAGCUGCGGAUCGAAUAAGUCCGCAGUCCGACGGUACCUUACGUAAGCCACGGCUAACUACGUGCCA